GAGGGUAUAGCUCAGUGGUAGGGUGUGUGCUUAGCAUGCAUGAGGUCCUGGGUUCAGUCCCCAGUAUCUCCA
rnacentral:tRNA from 1 species